CUUAGGAAGAGGAUACAGUGGGAACAAAGAUGGAGGAGACAUGAGGUGAACUAGAAAGAGUAAGACAUUCAGGUGGAGUCCAAGAGGAGGAAGGUCCUAGGAAAAAUAGAGAGUUUGGAUAACCCUAAGCUUUACCAGCUAAGGACCAGGCUCCUCCUCUCUUCAGGAGCCAUCAAAGUCUGAUGGCAAGAUAAAAGGUAAAUUACCAGUGAUGGCCCAAGAUGCAGUGAACAACCUUGGCUUCUUUGAUGUCUAACCAACCACUAAGCAUUGCACAGAACUUGAUUCCACUGCCUUCAUCAAUGUUGUAACAAAUUCUUCUCAUCUGCACCUC
rnacentral:lncRNA from 1 species